UUAGAUAAAGCAUUAAUUUCUCUUUGAAGACUCAGGGGAGCAUGAUAGGGGAUGGCCUGAAGUGAUAUACAACAAAGAGAGAGUUUCAAGCUGAGUAAUGGUGCUGAGGUGGUUUGGCCUGAAGCAGCAGCAGUAGCAGCAGCCUAGCUUGAAGGACUUUGGUGAGGGCCUCCCUUAUCAACAGGACCAAUAAUGAAAUUUGAGCUGGGUCAGGUGAUAAGAACUCCUGGAGCAAGCUAAGCAACGCUUUCCUUAGGGGCUGGACAUGGGCCUGCCUGAAGUUUGGACUCUGUCAACCCUGGACAACAAACUGGAAAGGUGGCACCAGCUUGUCCAGUAAAGAAUUGGGAUGGCAGCAUCAGCCAGCAUCUGCAAGAUGAGUUGUGUCGAUGGGAAGAUCAUUUCAUGACACUCUAGCUCUGUAAUGGAAUCAAAAGCUGCGUUGGAGUUGAUGGCAAAUACACAACAUGGUUUCCUAUUUCCAUGGGAGUUUGGCCAGGCUGUGUUCUGUAACCACUGUUAAAUAUGGGCAUUGAUUGGUUGAUGGCUAGGCUUAAGGAGGCAGCUGUUGGUGGCAUUGAGCUGAACACCAUGCGGCUUUGAAGUCUCUAAUACACCGGUGGCAUUGUCAUGUUGGCUCAGUUUGGUGGAUCGCUGGAGCUGAUGGCCGAUGUAGCUGGGCAAGAAACAGCAUGCAUUGAUUUGGUUAUUAAUCAGGAUAAAACUAAACCCCUGGCCAUUACCAUCAAGCAGCCUCCAGUUCCAGAGUACAGCCAGCUCAAUAUUAACCCAUCCAGAUGGGACAUUGAACAGGUGGCAACUGUCAAAUAUCUGGGCAUCAUCCUAGACAGUGCUGGAGCAUGCUUGAAAGAGGUGGAUGCAUUUAUAGCAGCAGCUGCUGCCACGUUUCAGGCCUUUGAGUGGCCUCUGUGGAGACUUUGCGAUAUCAAGUAUGCUACAUAGCUACAGUUCUAUAGAAUCACAUUUAUAUCAACUCUUGUACAGAGAAGUGAAACAUGGAUGCUGUGGAAGGCUGAAGAACCCUGGAUCGAUGUUUCUGGUUCUUGUUAAUUUGUCAGCUGCUCCAUAUCCAGUGAAGGACAAAAUCAGAAAUAAGGAUUUUUUUAAGAUGAAUCCAGUGACCACCUCCAUCAACACAGGGUUGGUUUGGGCAACUUUCUUGGUAUGGACAUACUAUUAGACUGGAAGGUUAAUGAACUCCAAAGUGUGUAUUAAGGAAUACUGCUACGUGACUGGCAGUCACAUGGGCACCAAAAGCUUCGGUGGUAUGAUAAGAUUGCUGGUGAUGGACCAUAAACUGAAUAUACAGCCAGACCAUCUUAAGAACCUAGCCAGAGAUUCAUCUGUGUGGCACUUGAUCCUUUUGGAAUUUGCCCUGAUGAUGAUGAGGGGAGUUAUGCACCCAACUCCAAUUGAAAGUCAGUGCAUUGACAUGGCUGCAAAGCAGUCAUCUGCAGGAGAAGAAAGAAAAAGCACUGAUACUCCAGGUGAAUGCCCCGUAUAACUUUCUGAUGGAGCCAGUGUAUCAAAGGAGACAAAGCUACCAGCUGGGACCAAAACAAGAAAGUACUAAUACGUAAACCAUUCCCAUCAGAAGGGAAAUAACAGCGGGUGGCUCUCGUAUCUGCUAUUUUUAAUAAUACAUGGAGAUUGCUAACAAAUCAGCCAUUUUCAAACUGUUAAUUGCAGAAAUGUUUGUCACCUCCUCAGGACAUAUCUCACUCGCAUCGUCCUGAAAUAUAUUUUCUCCCUUUUAUUUUUUCUGCUUUUCCAUGGGAAGAUUUUAAAAUGACAGUCACUCUCAGAAUGCAAAACAACAUGGAGAAAGAGAGAGCAUGAAAGAUAGUGAUAAAGGUUUUAAGUAUUAAAAUGAUAUGCAUAGAUAGUCCUUCUUUCAAGGGGACAUUCUGAAGGUGCCAGAAAAGAUUUAUAUAAUUAGCUGGCAAUGAGCUGCACAGUGAGUUUUUGAAUAAAAUAAAUAUUUUGAGUACACACGCGCACACACUUGCAGCAUAAGCCCUUGGGUCAGCAAAGGAAAAUCUGAAAGCUGAAAUACUGCUUGACAGCC